AAGGUAUCAAAGCUUAUGCAGUUGAUAAGUGAUGGAGCUUCUCCCCAGCUUCAGGGCUUUUUCUCACCAUUCCAUUCCUACAUGAGGCUCUAUGUAUCUGUCAGUUCUGUGAAGCCAUAUUUUCCUCCUUUAUCUGGAGGCCUCUUGUAACCAGGCACAGUUUCCUUCAGGAAGAAAAUGGUUUUAAUAAAUCUCACAAGUUUCACAGAUGGUUAUGUACCAAUGGGCCAUAGACCAUCUCAGGAUAACUUUAUUUCACAAUUCUGUUAGAAGGAAGACCCCACUAAAAGCCAUAAAGCAUAAGAACCAAGCAAAUUCCAGCUUAUGGGCUAUGAUUAUGCUGAGGGCAGUAAGAUAAUGAAAAUGCUUCCAGUACUCACCAGUAACCUUACUUUAUGUAAGAUAGUAUGAAAUAUACCAGUUUUCUAUCAAACUGCCUAUUAUUUCAAAUACUAAUACUCUUGAAUAAAUGAUGAUAACCCAUCAUUGAGACAGUAAGAAUUUUAGGAGUCAUCAUAGGCCAAAAACCCAGUACAAGUAGGAGCUAGAGGGCAGAGACUUCAUUGAAUAUAGCUUUUUUUUUAAACUGAGGCUCUUUGCUGACACUUGGGGACCUUGAGUUUCAGUUUUCAAGGCUGGGACAGGAAUCCAAUAAGAGGCCAGUUUUAAAGGGCUGUAAACUCAUAAGAGGUUCUUAUUAAUUAUGUUUAUUUUCUGUUUUCCCAGUGUAGACUUAAACAUGUGAGACUGUUGAUACUUGACCAUUUUUGACCUGUAAAAGCAUCAGUCUCAUAUGAUUCAAUGUAAUAGGAUGUCACGGAGAUUUUUGCCCGCAGCUGUCUGUCUAAUACCUAGAAAAAUAUCUAGUAGGUAGUAGGUUUUUUGAUGGAAUGAAUGACUGAAAUUAAGUUGGAAAUCAGUCAUUAUAGGAUAAGUAGAAUAACUCCAGAUGAGAGUUAAAAAUGUAUCUGAACAGCCCAUGAGCAAACGAAUUUAUAAUGAAAAUGAAAGGAAACCUGAACUUAGAACCUGCUAUGAUAGGAAGGAGUGAUGGGAGAUAGGGAGUGGUCUCUUGGAGUUGCCUCAGUGAGAUGUGACUAGCCAGCUGGGUAAACACAUUGAUUUCUAGGGUCUCGACUUCAUCCGUCCUAGCUGUUCCUUGCCAGCUUGAAAUUUCUGACUUUCAUUCCCAUCUGAUUUCACAGAUAUUGAAAAGUAAAAACUCAAGUCUUUUCAAUGUUUAUAACCAAAUGUAAUGUACAGAUUCAUAUUAAGGGAGAAAUACAGAAUUAAAUAAAAAACCCUACGAUGUAGAGCUCAGAAACGCUCCUUUCAAAAACUACCCAAGAUUACGUGUUACUUUCUCACUACCCCCUCUUUCUUUCAUAUUUAAUCAGAUUUCGAGAUUAGAGAUGCAAUUUCCUCUUGUGUCUAGGGAGGUUUAUCAGGAUGCUGCACACUACCAUUGGUUUCCAUUCUGUUCCUCUCUGCCCUGAGGUUACAGAACUACAAGUGUCUAUCUUAUAAUUAUUCAUUAAAAGGAAAGUUAUUUAUUUUCUUGGUUUAAUGAACAGAAAUUCUGUGAAGUCACAUCUGUAUGGGUUAGGUUAAAAAAUCAAUGAGUAAGGUGAAAGUCUUAUAUACUAGUUAAAGUGCAAGUGAAAAUCUUGUAUACCUUCGAUAAGUUGAAAUACACAAAGUUUACAGUAUGCAAUCCUAUGUGGUGUAUUCCUCAUGUAUCUGAUGAGAACACUUAGUUAACUAAAGACAAAAAUGAAGGAGAAGCACAUCAGUAGAUGUCCAGCUUUUAAAAUCCUUUGCCGUUAACAAAACUGUCAGAUUUGUAGUGAUGACUGUAGGGAAGAUUGAAAAUCCUGAAGUGCUUCUGCUUCCUGAAGGGAUGACUCCCCUAUGUUUGAAUAGUAUGCCUCACCGUUGUACAACAUAUUUGUGUAUUUGUUCACACUGGCAGUGACUUGUUAUGUCUUAUUUAUUAUAAGCAACUGCAACUCUACUAUUCAUGCAAUCAGGUUAUCGUGUACCACAUAAAGAUCCAAGUUUGGGGCUAAAUCAUUUAGAUAUUGGAUAUGCCCUCCCAGAUUGCUCCCUUCUAGUAAAAAAGUAUGGUUGUGAGAGGCACAAUGAACAUUCUGACUCCUGGGAAAGUGGUGUGAAAUUCAAGUUAGGGGCAGACGCUGGCUUUACUGUAAGGAUGGCAGUCUAGCUUUCACAGAGGCCUGUUCAGACUAGACAUGCUUGAGUCCAACUUUUGGCCUUGCCUGUGUUUAGAGUCCAAGUGAUUUAGGCCAUUUUAAUCCCAGGUGUGUUAGAAAUGGUGACUUCCUCCAGAGGUCCCCCUCCCUCCCCACGCCAGCUGGUGCAGGGAACCUGAGAGGGGGCCCACAGGUGGCUUUAUGAAGAUGACGAAGCUUAAGCUUAGGGUUCCACACUUAUACAAGUCUCUUUCAAGGUCUGGGAAGGGAUCUUAGCAAUAUAUGUAAUUGCAAUAUUUUAACCAUUAUCACUUAAGAUCACUCUCUCUUUCUCCCCAACUUCUCCAAACGUGACCUAUUGUUUUCAUUUUUGGUGGAGAAGCUGCAGACAGUUUUGGAACCCAAACUGCCUUGAGAUUACAGUGAGUUGGGGUUUUGUAGUUGACCGUCCCUUCUUUACAGGCGUGAGUUGUAAUUGGCUAUCAUGUUGUAGGAAUGGCUUCCAAGAUUCUCAUACCACCUGCUAAAUGACCUUCCUGGUGUUGGCAGAGGAUGCAAGGCCAAAGGUUGUGCUGCAGUGUGAGUGUGCCUGGUGGUGCCCAGCACUGCAUCCCCUCAUCCCCCCAAGUGGGCACUGUUGGAGAAACCUGCAGAGGAAGAAAGUGAGCUUUAAUUUUCUUCUCUGCCUCGAAGGUGAUAUUAUAAAAUUGUUGUCAUAUACAGCCAUAAAUGUGAGAAAGUGUACCAGAAAGUUUGAUCAAUAGUACAAAUGUUAUGUUCCUUGAUUUUAUUAUAUUUAAGUUUUCUGUGAUGUGCAUAUGAUAUAUUUUUUCUUUGUGAAUCACUGUGUACUUUCAUAUAAAAUUUUAUUUUUGUAACUCUACAUUCUUUUUCUAAAGUGGACCUUCAAAAUUGUGUAAGCUUCAGACCUCAUUAAGCCUGCUACUCAUAAGCCUGGACUCUUGACCAAAGACUGUGAUUUCACAUGCCACCAAAGCUUGCCUGCUUGUUUAGCUACUCCUCCAUUGUGUGGACUGAUGUAUCAGGAUGUACAGAGGAUAUGGCUCUUUGAAAGGCUGUCUGAAGUUAAGCACAGGUGGCAAUGCCCAGAGCUGGGCAGCAUAUGGAGUCUGGCCUUGGAUUGGUCACAGAAAGCCCUGCCUUUGUACAGAAAAGAAUAAAGAAUGGCCACUGUGCAGACCAGGCAGGAGAGGCUAUUUUCCUUUUGAUUUGUUAGGCGAGAAGGUGGGCUUCUCAAGCCUAGAGGGCUUGUGGCUUGUGUGACCCAGAAGGUGGCAAACUUGGAUAGAAACUAUUGCCGGCAAAUAAAUGCUUUCUUCAAAGCUCUCAUAAGGAGAAGCUCUGCUAGUCCAUUAGUCAAAAGAACUCACUUCUCACCACUUGGUUAAGGUAUUUCCACCUCCCUGUGACUGGGGCUCUGUUCUAUAAAACAGGAUUGUGGUCCUUUGCUAGACUGUGUUAAAGGACUUUUUACAUAAUGUUGGCCAUGGAGCCAUGGAAACAUGUAAGGUAUAAAGUAAACAUAAAAAACAUGAGUAUAAGAAAAUAUUAAAGGUAAAAAUCAAUAUUGUCAUUCAGCUAUACUUGUAGAAAAUCUUUUUCUGAACUAGAUGUAGGCUGCUAUAGAGGGAUCCUGAUUAGUUAAGCUCAGGGAGGCUUGAAAGAUGUGGAUUUCUAUAAUAAUGCAGCUUAAUUCACAGGGGCCAAUUUGUUCAAGCCUAGACAUGUUUGUCAGUAUAAUUGAAAGGAGCAUGAUCAGACCACCAUGUACCCCAGCCAGCGGCAGACCCAGGGGACUGUUCUCGCUAUGCCUGGGGACCUCAGUGGGCUACCUGUUCCCUGGCUGGCAGGAAGACAGAAGGGAGGGAAGCUUCUUUUUCACUUUCAGACUGCCCAUUAAUCAACAUCACUUUCCUCAUUAAUAUAAAGCCAUUCUCAGCUGCACAUUUCGAGGUGCUUUCAACAAUUCAUUUUUCCUUUUGGUUACAGUAAAAACAGCCUUCAUAAUGAGGAAGAGAGCUGUGUUCUUUGCGAAGCUAAAUAUUAAUUCUUCUUUAAGUUUGUCAUUUACAUAUCCCUCAAAUUGGGUUUCCUCUUUCAAUUUGCAUUGCUGAAGCCCCAUGGCCUGAAGAUACACAAUUAACAUGAUUUCCUUGGUGAGGGUCACAGUGCCUGCUUUGUAGGCUCAGGUUUUUCUUAAGACGGUAGUUGGAGGCACAGGAGAAGUGGAAAUUUAAUUGGCAUUAACUAGAGGAUCUCCUUGCUGGUCUGAGAAUAAGAUAUAAAUGGCUGUUGACUUCAGUCAGCCAUUUCUGCCUACAUGGUGUUGGUCAAGGGUUACCCCUCCCUUAGAAGGAAACAGCCUGGCACUCGCUCUGCCUUGUGAGCCUUUAGGGAAAGUCCUUGCUCGUCUCUCCUUAGGGUUAUGGUGUCUACUUGUCAGAACUAAUGAUCUCCGGGUGUGAGCAGGUCUUCAUCUAGGUUUGUAGAUGACUUUCUCUACAAACUUGCCAGCUGUUAAGACAGAUGAACUGUAUCCCUUCCUAGACUGCCCCCCGUCCCUCCCUCCAUCCCUUCUUCCCUUCCGUAGUGAGUACCUCUUGAGUAAAUAUCUGUCUGACACUACACUAGGAGACGGUCUGGUGGAGGAAACAGACACAAAAGGGGCAACUUUAGGGCAGGCUGAUAACCACUUCCAAAAAAUAACAGACAGGGUUCUAUGGUGCAAAGAGGAGUCAGGCCGGCAGGGAUGGUUGUUUACUCUGAAAUCUUUCAGCACCAAGUUUAUAUAUAUAUCUCGUAUAGUUAUUUAGCUGAGAGAUGUCUGUGAUUCUGGGUUUAGAUAGGCCAAAUGAAAUUUUCCAGUGUUCACUUUUUUCACCUAUAAAACAGAAGCAACUCAACCUGAGUUCAGUUAUGCAGUGUGCUUAGAAUCCCACACCCAGCACAUGCUUCCUGAGCCAUGGAUGGCAUCACAUAGGAACUAGGCAACUUUUGAACUUGUAUGUAAAUGACAGUUUAUAUCAUAGAAUUAUCUCCUGGAUCUUUAGGGACAUGGAAGACCUUCCUGGAAAGCCAAAGCAGG
rnacentral:lncRNA from 1 species